UUACGGCCAUAUCACUUUGAAACACCGAUCCUACACGAUCACCGAAAUUAAGCAACGUCGAGCCUGGUCAAUACUUAGAUGAUUGAGCGCUUGAGAAAACCAGGCGCUGUAA